GACGAACGCUGGCGGCGUGCUUAACACAUGCAAGUCGAGCGGUAAGGCCCUUUCGGGGGUACACGAGCGGCGAACGGGUGAGUAACACGUGGGUGACCUGCCCUCAGCUCUGGGAUAAGCCUGGGAAACCGGGUCUAAUACUGGAUAUGACUCCAUGACGCAUGUUGUGGGGUGGAAAGCCUUGUGCGGCUGAGGAUGGGCCCGCGGCCUAUCAGCUUGUUGGUGGGGUGAGGCCUACCAAGGCGACGACGGGUAGCCGGCCUGAGAGGGCGACCGGCCACACUGGGACUGAGACACGGCCCAGACUCCUACGGGGAGGCAGCAGUGGGGAAUCUUGCGCAAUGGGCGAAAGCCUGACGCAGCGACGCCGCGUGAGGGAUGA
rnacentral:rRNA from 1 species